GUGCAGGUGAGUCUGGCGGCCUCAAGGUUGGCUCGGAGGUUUCACUGUUAGCCGGGUGCGGCCGGAGCGCAGGACCAGGCCAGAGCCGCCCCAAGUGAUCUGGGCGUGCCGGAGAAACGAGCAGGGCCUGCGGGGGUCCCUCAUGCGGCGAGGCCGAGCAAGGGCAGGGGCCUGAUGGGAUCGGGAUCUCUCCGGCCUCAGGGACGGGGAAGGCCGGUCCAGUCAGGUUUCCCCUGCAGGAGCGCCCGGCUGGGUCUGAGCUUGUCGGGAGGCUCUCCUGCUGCAGAGCUGGGAGGGAACUUAUAGUACCUCGCAGGUGGCAGCCAAGAGCCUCCUGGCACAGCGGCACCAGGCAGGUGACGCCUAUUGGACCCCAGAGGUCAUCCCAGCUCCAGACGUGGACACAUUUUCUUCCAAUGCGUGGAGCCAGGGUAGAAGUCACAGUGCAAGGAAGAUGUGGUAUGCCUGGUCAGUCUCUGCAUGGGAGUUGAGGAGCAUGUGGGUGACAUGGCUGAAUGUGGAGGAGGGAAUGGCAGUGG
rnacentral:lncRNA from 1 species